GAAGGUGGCGUUCGGCCAUCUCCGGUGAAAAGGGAACCGGGUGAGACUCCCGGACAGGAUGCGCUGCUGUGUGUCGAGAAAAACAAGGCCUCCACAAUCAACGUUUCCACUGCACCAAAGGUGUGGGAAGGAAGUGGAAGAGCCCGACGAGUCAGAAGACCUGCCAGUUUCG
rnacentral:ncRNA from 1 species